AUGGAUUUCAUUACUGGACUACCUCCUUCAUAUAAGUUUGACUGUAUCUUGGUGGUCAUAGAUAAAUUUACAAAAUAUGGCCAUUUCAUGCCUCUCAAGCAUCCUUUUUCUGCUCAGAAAGUGGCUGAAGUUUUCCUUGACAAUGUAUAUAAAUUGCAUGGGAUGCCCGAGUACAUUGUUUCACAUAGAGAUCCUGUGUUCACGAGUAAUUUUUGGCAAACACUAACUCAGAGGACUGGCACCCAGUUGAAUAUGAGUUCUUCCUACUAUCCUGCUACUUAUGGGCAAACUGAGAGAGUUAACCAACAAGUUGAAUGUUAUCUCAGGAGCUUCAUCAGUUCUCACCCCUCUAAGUGGAGUAAGUGGUUGUCAAUGUGUGAGUUCUGGUAUAAUACUAAUUGGCAUUCGGCAGUGGGCAAGUCACCCUUUGAAGUGCUAUAUGGCCAUUCUCCCAGAUAUUUUGGUAUUUCUGUCAGUGAUACAGUAGCCCCAGUGGAUAUUCAAAAGUGGAUGCAGGACAGUGAGGUGGUAGUAGCUUCUGUCAAACAACAUUUGCUUCGAGCCCAGCAACGGAUGAAACAUAUGGCAGAUAAAAACAGAACUGAGAGAUCUUUCGAAGUUGGAGAUCAGGUUUUCCUCAACUUACAGCCUUAUGUGCAAUCAUCAGUCGUGCAUAGAGCUAAUCACAAAUUGGAUUACAAGUACUACGGCCCAUACACCAUACUCGAUAAAAUCAGUGAAGUUGCCUACAAGCUGCAAUUACCCUCCGACAGCAGAGUUCACCCUGUUUUUCAUGUAUCCCAGCUGAAAAAGGUGGUACUCCCUGUUGGGGAACGUAGUAAUUUCAAAAUUUUCCUACGCACACGCAAGAUCAUGGUGAUGCAUAGCAACGAGAGAGGAGAGUGUCGUCUACGUACCCUCGUAGACCGUAAGCGGAAGCGUUAUGACAACGCGGUUGAUGUAGUCGUACAUCUUCAGGAUCAACCGAUACUCAGUACCGAACGUACGGCAACUCCUCAUUCAGCACACAUUCAGCUCGGUGACGUCUCGCGAACUCACGAUCCAGUAGAGCUUCGGGGAAGAGCUUCGUCAGCACGACGGCGUGGUGACGGUGUUGAUGAAGCUACCGAUGCAGGGCUUCGCUAA
rnacentral:rRNA from 1 species